AAAAACGGAGGUUCUGGAGCUUCGAAACGGACCGACACCAUCCUAGCCAAUUCCUGCCAGGGUGAGACCUCUAACCACCAUAUUUGGAUUACUCUCGUUGAAUAGAUGAAUUUUCAUAUAUGGAUCGUGGAAUUUAGUUAAGAACUGAGUGAGAUAUGAGCGUUUAAAUUUCUCCUCUGCAGAGUGCAGACGCACAAACCAAACCCAAGGGCGCCAACUGCACUACAUUUACGUUCAACAGUAGCACAAUAUUGAAUCCAUAUCCAUCAAUUUCAGUCAACUUUCGUACUACCAUUCGUCAUUAAGUUACUUCAACAAACUUUAUAAAGAUUGCACGUAGCUACUUAGGCACGAAGGAAUCUGGUGAGUUUCACUCUCACUCUUAACAGUUUAAUUAGUUUAAAGUUGAAAUAUUGCUUAUAUAAAAUAAGAGAAUUGUUAUUGGUAUUCAAAAAAUCUUAUUUUGCAUGCCAAAUUUUCUAUAAAUAAAAAGAAAAAUAUACUUGUAAGAAACGCGAAAUGAGAUUUUAUUACUGCUAUUAACAAUUCCGUAAAAAUUUUUUGUAACUUUGAUUUUUUCUGUUGGUAAAAUUUUGUUUUGCUUGUACUAGGGUAAAGUACCCAUUUUCACAUACAUGAUUGGAC
rnacentral:lncRNA from 1 species